GACGAACGCUGGCGGCGUGCUUAACACAUGCAAGUCGAACGGAAAGGCCCUGCUUUUGUGGGGUGCUCGAGUGGCGAACGGGUGAGUAACACGUGAGUAACCUGCCCUUGACUUUGGGAUAACUUCAGGAAACUGGGGCUAAUACCGGAUAGGAGCUCCUGCUGCAUGGUGGGGGUUGGAAAGUUUCGGCGGUUGGGGAUGGACUCGCGGCUUAUCAGCUUGUUGGUGGGGUAGUGGCUUACCAAGGCUUUGACGGGUAGCCGGCCUGAGAGGGUGACCGGCCACAUUGGGACUGAGAUACGGCCCAGACUCCUACGGGAGGCAGCAGUGGGGAAUAUUGCACAAUGGGCGGAAGCCUGAUGCAGCAACGCCGCGUGCGGGAUGACGGCCUUCGGGUUGUAAACCGCUUUCGCCUGUGACGAAGCGUGAGUGACGGUAAUGGGUAAAGAAGCACCGGCUAACUACGUGCCAGCAGCCGCGGUGAUACGUAGGGUGCGAGCGUUGUCCGGAUUUAUUGGGCGUAAAGGGCUCGUAGGUGGUUGAUCGCGUCGGAAGUGUAAUCUUGGGGCUUAACCCUGAGCGUGCUUUCGAUACGGGUUGACUUGAGGAAGGUAGGGGAGAAUGGAAUUCCUGGUGGAGCGGUGGAAUGCGCAGAUAUCAGGAGGAACACCAGUGGCGAAGGCGGUUCUCUGGGCCUUUCCUGACGCUGAGGAGCGAAGGCGUGGGGAGCGAACAGGCUUAGAUACCCUGGUAGUCCACGCUGUAAACGGUGGGUACUAGGUGUGGGGUCCAUUCCACGGGUUCCGUGCCGUAGCUAACGCUUUAAGUACCCCGCCUGGGGAGUACGGCCGCAAGGCUAAAACUCAAAGGAAUUGACGGGGCCCCGCACAAGCGGCGGAGCAUGCGGAUUAAUUCGAUGCAACGCGUAGAACCUUACCUGGGUUUGACAUGGAUCGGGAGUGCUCAGAGAUGGGUGUGCCUCUUUUGGGGUCGGUUCACAGGUGGUGCAUGCCUGUCGUCAGCUCGUGUCGUGAGAUGUUGGGUUAAGUCCCGCAACGAGCGCAACCCUUGUUCACUGUUGCCAGCACGUUAUGGUGGGGACUCAGUGGAGACCGCCGGGGUCAACUCGGAGGAAGGUGGGGAUGACGUCAAGUCCUCAUGCCCCUUAUGUCCAGGGCUUCACGCAUGCUACAAUGGCUGGUACAGAGAGUGGCGAGCCUGUGAGGGUGAGCGAAUCUCGGAAAGCCGGUCUCAGUUCGGAUUGGGGUCUGCAACUCGACCUCAUGAAGUCGGAGUCGCUAGUAAUCGCAGAUCAGCAACGCUGCGGUGAAUACGUUCCCGGGGCU
rnacentral:rRNA from 1 species